AGUGAACGCUGGCGGUAGGCCUAACACAUGCAAGUCGAACGGCAGCACAGUAAGAGCUUGCUCUUACGGGUGGCGAGUGGCGGACGGGUGGGGAAUACAUCGGAAUCUACUUUUUCGUGGGGGAUAACGUAGGGAAACUUACGCUAAUACCGCAUACGACCUACGGGUGAAAGCAGGGGAUCUUCGGACCUUGCGCGAUUGAAGGAGCCGAUGUCGGAUUAGCUAGUUGGCGGGGUAAAGGCCCACCAAGGCGACGAUCCGUAGCUGGUCUGAGAGGAUGAUCAGCCACACUGGAACUGAGACACGGUCCAGACUCCUACGGGAGGCAGCAGUGGGGAAUAUUGGACAAUGGGCGCAAGCCUGAUCCAGCCAUACCGCGUGGGUGAAGAAGGCCUUCGGGUUGUAAAGCCCUUUUGUUGGGAAAGAAAAGCAGCAGGUUAAUACCCCGCUGUUCUGACGGUACCCAAAGAAUAAGCACCGGCUAACUUCGUG
rnacentral:rRNA from 1 species